GCAUCCCAUACCGCGGGCGCUCGGCCGAGGCAGGAGCGUGGUGCGGAGUUCCAGACCAGGCCUGGCUGCGGAGUGAGACUCCGAGAAAACCAGAUAAUCGAAAGGCCUGGUCUGCAGAGUGAGACUUAAAAAUCCCAACCCCCACCAACAAAUAAAGCCGAAACAACAGCAACAAAACAAACAAGCCAAAACCAAACCUACAGCCCACCUACCCACAAGAACGAGGACGCAGAAGCGGUCGGAGUCCCGUUAGGAAGGCCUCCCUUUCAUGUCCAUACAGCAGGGUACUCUCAGCCCGAGUGUUGAUGCGAGUCCUAGAGCCUCGCAGCUGAAGGGGUCCCGACACCGGCUAGUGUCCUGCCCGAGGGCUUCAGCGUUUUCUGUCUCCUGGCCACAGCUCCCUGAAGACAUUGGUGCAUUUGUAGAAAUCCAUUUACAUUUCCCUUCUGGAACCUCUGAGGGCCUGUGCUUCCCAGAGUGGGGUUGUGGGAUGGUAGGCUGUGUGAGAAAAGCGAUUUCCCCAGGUCCUCCCCUAUAGAAGGGUCCUUUUACCUUUGCUGUGUAAUUUCAUGGUUGACACCGGAGUUCUGGCCUCGGCUCCACUCACCCGCUGUGGGAUGUUGGGCAGAUUACCCAAGUCUGCGUGGGAGCAUUUGGUGGUGCCCCCACCUGAGGGGCGACUUGGGGGCUUUUACAAGGAGAAGCGUGCAGAGCCCUCAUUCUUGAGCAUGGCUGUUUGGCAUGUCCGUUGGCCCAUGUGUAUUGUCCGAGCUGUCUUUUGUCUAAUUUUCUCUGGUGAGAAUCCUCAGUAGAAACCUUUAGUCACAUAGGACCGGUUAGUUUGUUUUCGGUUUCUCUCUGAGCACUGCCCUUUUUUUUUUUUUUUUACAAAUAACUUCUUUUGUUUAUUAUUAUUGUGUGCGUGAAAUGUGGCUGUGUCAGAGGAGACCCUUGAAUACAGUUCCUCACGUUUUGGCGACCCGCAGCCAUGCAGUUAUUUUGUUGCUGCUUCAUAACUAAUUUCACCACUGUUAUGAAUGGUAAUAUAAAUAUGUUUUCCGGUGGUCUGUGGUGAUCCCCGUGAGAGGGUGGUGCCCACAGGUUGAGAACCUCUGCUGCACAGGUUGCUGUGCAGCAAGCGCUUUUACCUGCUGAGCUGACUGGCUUUUCACCCGGUGUUUAUUUAGCAUGUAUACCUGUGACACUCAGCUCGAGAACAGAAGUGGGCAGCGCUCCAUUGCCAGUGUGGAGAGCGGUGGGGACAGGUUGGAAGGCUCUCUUCUACACUUGAUCUUAGCCAGAAGGCCGAGAAGCGAGGGGAGGGUCUCUGUAGUCCUCUCUCCUCCUGCUUCAGCUCUCAGGGACUCCAGAGCUACGACUGGAGAGUGAACCAGUUCACCUACACCAGAAUUCCAGUUUUGAGAAAUUAAAGGCACGAGAACCAAGAGUCCCCAGAGUGUUGAUGUUCUAUGUGUGAGCCACCUCACCUAAUAUUUAAAAAAAAAAAAAAAUAUUUUAUUAGUGAGUGUGUGUGCGUGCGUGUAGGUACCCACUGGUUUCAGAAGAGGGUAUUAGAACCUGCGGAGCUGGAGUUAAGUAGUUGUGAACCACCUCAUGUGGAUGCUAGGCACCAAACUGGCUUCUACAAGAGCAGAAUGUGCUUCUAACUGCUGAGCAGUCUCUGCAGGCCCCUACACCCAGCAUUUUUUUUUUCUUUGUCUUUGAUUUGUGGGGUUUGUUUUCUAGACAGGGUUUGUUUGUGUUGCUCUGCCUGUCCUCACUAUAGAUCAGGCCAGCCUCUAACUCACAGAGAUCUGCCUGCCUCUGCCUCCUGAGUGAAUGCUGGGGUAACUGGCCUGCGCCACGGCACUCGGCUGAUUUGUUUUAGUCAGGCAGUCUGGAUGGAUUUCUGUUUAUGUUUCUUUCGUUGUCUCUUGUGUUAGUUACGACUUGAAUUAAAAGUUUGUGCUUCGGUGGCCUCUGGCACUCCAAGGUGCCAAACUUGGCCCGUGGCUGUGCUGUCUGGGUUCCUGGCAUCCUUUUGUGAGACAGUCUCCCAAUGUAGCCGAAGGCUGGCCUUGAACUCUGUUCUCUCCUGUUUCUACCACCUUACACUGGGUCACAGCUGGCUCAGGACACCCGGCUAUUCAGGCAGGUGUACUGUAACCCAUGCAGGUUAAAACAGGUUGCCUGGCAGGCCUGGGAUUUGUGGUUGUCACUGACGCAGUCUCUUUGUGCCUAACCCCUGGGAGAUUGCUGUGUGUGAGACAGUCCUGCCCAGCCUUCUCUGAGCCCUGGGCAUCUUCUUUCCUGGAUUCCAAAAUCAAGAAGAUGUAGGUGAAAAGCAGCACUGGCCCCACCCCGUGAGCAGGCCUGGAUCCUCCCAGCACCUGGCUUUCCUGGCAGGGCUGUGAUGUUGGCUCUGCUUGUGUUGUGUCCCAGGGGAGUGGGUGAGACUGGUUUAAGUGUUUAUGUUUUUAUUGCAGGGAUUGUGUGUGAGACUUGGGCCAUGACUAACUGUCAGGCCAUUUGCUUUAAUAAGUUUGUAAGUGAGCUGUGGUGGCCAGGCCUGUAAUCCAGCUCUCAGGAAGCCGAGGCAGAGGGAUCAAAAAUUCAAGGCCUGCUGGGUAUAGACUGAGUCCAGAGCUAGCUCUGUCUCAGAAAGUAAACAGAGCCUGGGGUGCAGCUCAGAGGAUGAACACCGGCCCAGCGGCCCAGCGCGUGUGAGUCCCUGGCUUGUUACUGUUGAAAAUGAAAACAAACACAAAUUAAAAAGCCGAACUGUGGCUUUCUCUAGGGGUCAGGUGUGGUGGUCUGGGGCUGGGGACGCUAGGAACCCAGAAUGGUGUCAUUGGCAUUUAGACUCCUGAUAACUCAGAACCUUCUGUGUCCCAUUAGUGACAUAAGCAGUUGCUACUUGGUCCCUCCGCUGUGGUGCCACACAUGUCAGGAUGUAGAGUGACCUGGAGCAGCUGAGAACUGUUGGAAUCCUUUCCUGGGUCUUUCUCUGGGCAGGUUGAAUGUCCAGGGUGGGAAGACGGCUCUGUGCUUGGAGCUCAGGCUGCUCUACCAGAGGACCUGGGUUCAGCUCCCUGCCCCCACGUGGUCUGCACAACCAUCGGUGACCUCUUCUGGCCUCCACAAGCACUGUGUGCUUAUGAUGUGCGCGCACGCGUGUGCGUGCGCGCACACACACACACACACAACGCAUGCACGCAGGCAAAGCAGGAGUAAACAGGAACUAAAAACAGAUAUGUAAUUGCUUAAGAAAAGAAAGGAGGGGUAGGGGUAGAGAGCCAGCUUAGCAGUUAAGAGCGCUGGCUGCUCUUGCAGAGGGCCCAGCUCAAUUCCCAGCAUCUACAUCGUGGCUCACCACUUUCUGUAGCUCCAGUCCCAGGGAUCCAACACACUUUUCUGACCUCUUUAGGCACAGGCCCACUCAUGGUGCAUAGACACAAAUUCAGGCAACACAAACAAACAAAAAUGACAGGCGUCUCCUGCAGCCACAGUAGUGGCCGAGACCAGGGUCCAUGGCUGGCUGAUGGACAACCAUGUCUGAGGCUGAAAGCCUGGGUGGAGGCGUGAUCUGAGUGUCCACCCUGUCACUGCCAAGUUCAUCUGUCACCACCUAGCUCACAGCCUGGGCCUGUGACUUGACUGGGAAUCUGCCUUCCAGGCCCUUGUGGGAGUCCAGGAUCACUCGCUGGCCCCUUGUCUGUACCUAGAGCCACCAGGCUGUUUUUCUUCCUGAACUCUGCCUGUCUCUGUUGGACUUCUCUGGGACACACAUCAAGGGUUCCCAAAAGAGAUCACUGGGGACAGUGAUGGACAGAUGGAGCCAUCUUCAGGGACAGCUGUGUGCCGAGUUUCCUGGCUGGGUAGAAGUCUGUGUCCAGAGGCUGCAGCUCUGCAAUGGAGCCCUGAGAGGUGGAGCUCAGUGGUUUGACUGUACACCAGGCUGGCCUUGACCUCACAGGAGAUCCACUUGGCCCUGCCUCCCGAGUGAUAGGAUCCCUGGUGUGCGCUGCCACACCUGACCUCAAAGUAUUUUUCUAAAUAAGGGAGUAUUUUGUCCCUUAACACCCCUAACCCCCUCUUAUAUAGUUCAGCUCAGGCUUACCUGAAACUCACUGUUGUAGCCCUAUGUUGGCCUUAGAUCCAUAGGUGAUCCUCCUGCCUCAGUCCCAACCAUACCAGGAUGAUAGCCUGUCUCUUUCUUUUCUUCCUCUCUCUCUUUCUCUCUCAGACAUGGUCUUACUGUGUGUUUCUGGCUGUCCUGGAACUUGUUAUGUAGAACAAGCGGGCCUCAAACUCAUAGAGAUCUGUUCUCCUGCCUCUGACACCACGUGCUGGGAUUAAAGGUGCCCACCGUCACACUUGGCCUGCCUCCCUUUCUAUACAGCUGCUCUGUAAAUCAGGCUGGCCUGGAACUCAGAGCUGCCUGCCUCGGCCUCCUGAGUGCCGAGAUUAAAGGCGUGCACCACCACUGCCAGGCUUUUUCUUGUUUUGUUUUAUUGUUGAACUUUUCUGUAGUAUUUGAAGUGCAGCAACAGGUUUUUAUUCAUUUGUUUAUUUUUAUUGGAAUAAAACUAUAUGUAACAGCUUGGGUAUGGAGGUGCAGGCCCAUGACAGCCCUCAGGAGACUGAGGUAGGAGGAUCACAAGUUUGAGGCCAUGACGUCAGAAGACUCAACACAGCAUUCAUCACUAAGCCCGGUUUCCCUCCGAUGUAUGGCCUCAGUUCAGGGGUGGGAGGUACCUUCUGGAGUACAGUUGUCGGCCUGCCUUCUCCAGAACUGUCCCUCCAGGCGCUGCUGGGGUUCAGCGCUGCCCCCCACAGCCCCUUCCUCAUUCUGCUGGUGCCUUCCAAAGUGGUGCCUGCCCUAGGGAGCUCAGGAGCGGAAUCUCAUCUUGCGGUGUGUGUUUGUGGUUGGUUUACACUGUGUGAAGCCCUCAUCCAUGUUGCAGUGUUGACCAGGGAAGUUCCUCGCUGCAUGUUUGUGCCUGGAUUUGCUGACCCUUUCACAGAACUGCUGGGCUGAUGGGAGGGGUGUGUGUACAAGGCUGUGACAUCUCUGGAGACCCUGCUUUCAGCUCCUUGGGCCUAAGGGUGGCGGCAGCCACGCUGGCCCUUGGUGAGCAUGAGCCAGGUUGUCUGUGGGGCUGUGGCAGUGCAGGUUUGGGGAUCGCCUGCUCUCUGCUCAUGUGCACACCCUCCCGGGUUUUGUCUCUUGCUGUGCUGUCUUUUGUGUGUGGGGGCGGAGCCGCUUCUCAGAAUCACUUACACCAUUUCACUGGAGUGAGUGAAACUGCCAACCUGCAGCACUAAAUCCAUCGCUUGAGGAGGACUGUGCAUGGGCUAUGGACGGCCCAGGGUUCCAACCCCAGCACCAUGCAAACCAAAACAAAACAAAAACAAAG